CUCCCAAAAGCUUGCAGCUGUUCCAUUCAGUCACAUCCCUGUGGCCCUCAACAGUUUCCCACCACUUCGACUUUAUUGUAAAAAAAAAAAAUGUCCUCAGACUUUCAGUGAGCUGAAAUUUCACCCCACCCUCUGAAGAAGAAAGCAGUUGCACCUGUUCCGCUGGUUGCAAGGGUCUCGCACAGCUUUGAAUAGUUCAUUAUGGGUGGCUCCCUUCCAUUUGAUUUGGAAUCAGGAGCUCAUCCUCUGAUUAAUAGGCUGCCAAGAAGGCAAGCUACUUAAAUGCUGAACAAAUCCAAAUGAAUUGUAAAGAGCUGAGACACCCGAUGGAUCCAUAAGGACAUCUAACAGUUUAUUAGGACCUUUACAAGCAGACAAGAAUGUCUUCCUUCUGCAAAGGCUUGUUCCAUUCCAUCUAUCUCUUUCAAUACCGCAAGGAAAUUAUUCUUGGAACACCAGACAUACAAACUUCUCUCUGUGUUCAAAAUAUUUUAGAUUCAUCAUCAUGAAAGCUGAAAUAAAGGAUCAUGGAAAAUUAGGACCAUGUGGAGCGAUGGUAAUUUUUCAGGAUAUUCAUCUGGAAACUAAAAUAGGCUUAUUAUGUUUUUUCUUUCACAUACACUGUCAGACCUCCCAUACCAUGCAAUAGUUAGAUUGCAAUCU